rnacentral:lncRNA from 1 species
UUUUUUCCACAAACAAAAACACACACCUCUCAUCCUUCAUGUUGGUGCUAGCUCAGCUGCAGCACCUCCGCCGGCGCCACCCUUCCCAGUAAGUCUACUCUCAAAAUAUAUUGUAUAUGCAUUCUUCUUUUCAAUCACUCAUCUCUCUUAUUGUUGUUUGCUUAUUUCUUUUAGUCAUAGUGGUAACAUGAUGUGAUUCUUUCUUGUUGCACUAUUGGGUUCUUUUUUGCAUGUUUAGGUAAAACAGAGUGCUGAUGUAAAUUAUUGCAAGAAAUAUUAUAAUCUACACGUUUCAUUAUACGUUCUACUUCUACAUAUACACAAAAACACACACUGUUACGUAUGAUUUUUCUAAAAGAAAUACCAAAAUUUAAGCUUUCUACCACUGAUUAUCUGCACUUGUUUUCCCAUGGUAUUUGACAUAUAUGUAUGUCAAUUCUUAUUACAUGGUAUCAGUUUAUAUGUUUUGGGUGAUGCGAGAUUUCAAACUCAAAAUGGCACUUCGUCAGCUGCAUUUAUAUAUUGGAAUUCCAAAUUCAUAAUGACUGAGUAUAAUCACAUUUCAUUGCUCAAUAUAUGAUGUAUCACAAUUUACACUGUAUCUGUAUAGUCCAAAAGGGAAGGAAAAAGGUAUCUUUAUUUGAAUAAACAGAAAAUUGUGCAGAUAUUGCACUUGAUCUUCAUUCUGGAUACAGCUAGAAGUUCCUUGCCAUGCCAUACACAACCCUUGUCUUCGCACCCGCCUUAGACUGCGUUUUACAUGAAGCGCCAUAGCAUAAAAAUUGCAAUAAUCUUGUUGUUCCCUAUAACUCAUCCAUGCCUAGAUUCACACUCUGUAAAUGAAGAAAAAUCGAAUCCUGCAUGUAAAGAAGAAGUAAAUGCUUAAAAUUUGCACCUAGUGAGUGAAGUAAGUAUAUUGGUGGAUUAUGAACAUAGCAGCUGCUGCAGGAAGAGUAGAAUUACCAGUAGGGAAAAGCCUCCUCCAAUGUUAGUUUGUAAGAACUGCUUCUACUUUGACGGGCUUAAGCCUCAUCACGCCUCUGCGCAAAUGCUGAAAGGCUAGUACAAAGAGGCCAAAAAAGUAUAACAUGAAAAUAUGUAGCUUCUCUACGCUUUCAAGAAUGAAAGAUGAACUGAUUGCUCUCCAUGCCGAUAUCUGAGAAGCCUUGCACCCUGAAGAGAAGAGCAGGGUUAGUCAUACUUUGAUAACCAUGGCAGGCUGAUUGAUUUCAGGAAGCAUAGUGUAACCAAAUGCAUCGAGUCAAUAAGCAAAAAUGACUUUGUUCGUUGUCUUUUUAUUUGGAUUGAUUGCCAUGACAUUUCAACAGAGACAAUAGACCAUAGGCGAAUAUCGAACUUUUGCUCUUAAAUGAAAUGACCAGAUACCCACAUCAUUUCUAGGCCUUGGUCAUGGGAAUUACAUUCGAGCCUCAUCAUAUAUACACCCCACAGCCUCACUGUGAGCUUGCCUAAGCUAUACACUGUUUUCUCUCACUAAAUCCUAGGUUAACAAACCGUAAUAUGGUUAUAUGGUUUGCGUAGUCUCUAGAAGAUUUAGACCAGUAAUACAGAAUGAUGAAGAAUUUGCAUAAGGAUAGCACCCACCACUGCUUUUAGUAGACAGAUUUGUCCAUUGGUAUGAACUUGUCGUACUUUGUGAUGCCUUGAUCAACUCUAGAAGAGCUUUAUUCACCUGCAUGUUUGAGCGAGGAAAUACCAUAUAAGCGUCAAGUUUGAGAAUUCUGGUCAAUGUCAUACUCAAUUGCAAACGAAUUCUGAUUAUAUUGCAGAUGAUUUUCAUGUAUGUUUCUCUGUUUUCACUGUUUACAACACUGAAAUUUCAUUUCAAGGUUCCUUUCACUGUUUACAACACUGAAAUGACCUUCACUACUGUUCAAGCCAUUAAUUAGCCUGUUUCAGAAUCACACUUCUCUGGAUAUGUUUACUGAACGUUAAUUACAGGAAUACUAACAAAAUUCAAUACACGGACAUCAGCCCUUGUCCGGUAACGUUGCAGGAUAUGUUUAAGCAUCCAUUGCAACUAGUUUCAGAACUCAAUUUUAAAAAAAAUGGUGGGAUCUUGAAGCAUUAAGUAAUCUCCUCUAUUUGUUUCAUUUAUUCUGUAAAAUAUGUUAAACCAAUUUG